rnacentral:rRNA from 1 species
UACGUAGGGCGCAAGCGUUGUCCGGAUUCACUGGGUGUAAAGGGCGCGUAGGCGGCUUAUCAAGUCAGGCGUGAAAUUCCCGGGCUCAACCUGGGGGCUGCGCUUGAUACUGAUUGGCUUGAAUGCGGGAGAGGAUAGUGGAAUUCCCAGUGUAGAGGUGAAAUUCGUAGAUAUUGGGAAGAACACCGGUGGCGAAGGCGGCUAUCUGGCCCGUAAUUGACGCUGAGGCGCGAAAGCGUGGGGAGCAAACAGG